UGGAACCUGAUAUCCUGAAGAGCAAGGAGUGCUUGAAGAGUUUGCUUAUGCUCUGCCAUUAUUACCCACCUUGUCCACAACCUGACCUAACUUUGGGGACAAGUAAGCACUCAGACAACUCCUUCCUCACGAUUCUUCUUCAAGACAACAUCGGUGGUCUACAAAUUCUUCAUCAAGACUCUUGGGUUGAUGUGGCUCCUCUUCCUGGAGCUCUCAUUAUCAACAUUGGAGAUUUCUUGCAGGUAAAGUAAGAACUGGAAAAAUAAAUAAAUACCAAAUAUAUUUAGUUUUUUUAUGUGCAUGUUUGGGUUUUUGCAGCUGAUAACGAACGAUAAGUUUAUUAGUGUGGAGCAUAGGGUGCUUGCGAAUAGACAAGGACCAAGGAUUUCAGUUGCAAGUUUUUUUAGCUCAAGUAAACGUGCCAAUUCCACAGUCUAUGGACCAAUGAAAGAGCUUGUGUCUGAAGAAAACCCUCCAAAAUACAGAGACAUAACCAUAAAAGAAUACACAGAUGGAUACACUGAGAAAGGACUGGAUGGAACAUCAUAUCUCAUGAAUUUCAGGAUAUGAAAACAAAACUACCUACAGAAAAAUAAAAUUAUGGUGUUUCUUAGAACCAUAUCACCCUUUUCUUGGAUCUGCAGUAAUUAAACCAGUGUACCAAAUAGCAUGUGUGUGCGUAUUUAUGUGUCAUACAGUACUAUAUUUGUAUCUUUAUACUUUAGUCAUACGUAGAAGACUAUAUGUGGACCUUUCUACUGUAGUCAUAUGUAUCAUACAGAAGUGAAAUGCAUUGCACGAAUUGGUCAUAAGAGCAAUUCCAACCAUUAGAAAUUAGGUGGGAUUCUAAAAAAAAAAAAAAAAAUAUUUUAAUUAAAUAACUAAAUUUUUUUUCUUUUCUAAAAUGCUAGAUGCAAGACAUGUAGAAGGUUAAAGUUUAGAAGUGGUUCUAAAAACACUUGUUUUAGAAACUUUCUUCACUAUUUCUCCGAUUUUAUUUUUUUUUAUCUUUUUUAUUUUUAAUGAUGGAAUUCUAAUUAAAGAACCUCCAAUGGAGGUGGUCUAAGAACAUCAAGCCUUACCAGGGGAGAAGAGUCUAAGCUGUGUUCUAAUAAUUUGGAGUCCAACCUUUAAAUACAAAUUAAAAAAUUAGAUUUAAAACAAAGGGCUCAUAGUAUAAUUGUAUGUAUAUUUUUGUCUAUAACAUUAUAGGAUAUUAGUCUUAAUUUUUUUUAUUUUACUAAAAAAAAGAUUUGUGUUUCAAAUUCCAAAGAAAACAACUUAUUAACAAUUAUACAAAUUCAUAGAAAUAAAUUUACAUAGAAUCAAUCGUUGGUAUAAUACAAGUAAAAUCACCGUGCAUAGAUUUUUGUAAAGAAGUUCAAGAUAAUACAAAUAUAACAGACAUGAAUUCUCAUAAAAUAUAUUUCUUUCAAAAAAAAUUCUCAUAAAAUAUAUAAAAUUAUCCGUUGUAAAUAAUUUGUGUGAUAAAUUUUAUAAUUUAUAAUAAAAUAAUAAGUUAAUAUUCAAAAAGUUUUUAACACUAAAUACUAGUUUAUUAAUAGUUAAUCCACUUUUUGUAAGAUGUAAAAAGAGAAAGUAUCUCCUUAUUUUCAACGCUAACCUAGGGCUAUAUGCACCUUGAUAUAAAAACAAAAGUGGAGAAGAAAAAUUCAGCUACAACAAGUCACAAAGCCAGUGGUGUGUCCAGAACAAGACAAGAUUCAUGUAAAUUAUAGAUACAGUCAGAAAAAUCCAACAAAAAACGAACACAUUUGGUCCCACACACUACUGACCAAACUCCAACCACCCGUUGAUUCCGUUCUCAAUAUUUCCUCUUUUUAAUUCUUAUUUUGCUUUAUCUUUUUCUUCUAAGCAAACAUAUUGUGUAGAAAAGAAAGACAACAAUGGUGACCAAAACAUCGAUCGAGUUCGAUCCUUAUACGGAGCGUAAAGCUUUCGAUGAGACCAAAGAAGGAGUAAAAGGGCUGGUCGACGCUAAAAUCGCCGAAGUCCCUCGUAUCUUCCAUGUCCCUCAAGCUUCAUUGACCGAAAAGAAACCCUCUGUCUCUGUUUCAGAUCUAGAGAUCCCUAUCAUCGACUUUGCAAGCGUCCACGUCGACACAGCGUCACGUGAAGCCGUGGUAGAGAAGGUUAAAUACGCGGCGGAGAAGUGGGGAUUCUUCCAAGUUAUCAACCAUGGCGUUCCUUUGAACGUUCUUGAAGAGAUUAAAGAUGGAGUUCGUAGGUUUCACGAGGAAGAUCCUGUGGUCAAGAAACAAUACUUCUCCCGUGAUAACGCCAACAAAAAGUUUGUCUACAAUAGUAACUUUGAUCUAUACAGUUCCUCGCCAUCUGUUAACUGGAGAGAUACUUUCACUUGUUACCUAGCUCCAGAGCCUCCAUCUCCUGAGGAACUCCCAGUGACUUGCAGGUAAAGGAACCAGACUUAAAUUCAUUAUUUUCUUUUUAUAUACUAGAGGUCACAUAGCCCUAAUCAUCAGUCAGAGCUGCAAUAGAUUUAUUUCGUUGUGGCUAAAGAAGUAUAAGCUUCUAAAGUUUGAUAAGAUCGAUUUUUAUUUAGGUUCGGAGAGUAAAUAUGUCUCAAGUUUGAAAGAAUUCAAAGAGAUUAAAGUUAUAUUUUGUUACAGCCAAUUUGGUCUUAUUUUUGGGUUAAGCCAGAUUGAUCAGCCUAGCCAGGCAGACAUCGGUUGUGAAAUCAUGUUGUUUUCAUCAGUUUAUAAACUUUGUUUUGUUUUAAGAGAGUGUUAUUGAUCUCUAACAUCAUUGGUUGACUCAGGGAUGCUGUGUUCGAAUACUCAGAACAUGUGAUGAGUUUAGGUGGUUUACUCUGCGAACUUUUUUCAGAAGCACUAGGUCUAGAAUCUGAGAUACUUAAGAGCAAGGGGUGCUUGAAGGGUUUGUCUAUGCUCUGCCAUUACUACCCACCUUGUCCACAACCUGACCUAACUUUGGGGGUAAGUAAACACUCAGACAACUCCUUCCUCACGGUUCUUCUUCAAGACAACAUCGGUGGUCUACAAAUUCUUCAUCAAGACUCUUGGGUUGAUGUGGCUCCUCUUCCUGGAGCUCUCGUCAUCAAC
rnacentral:lncRNA from 1 species